CUUGCAUCUUCAGACGCAUUUCAUGCCAUGUUUGAUGGAGGUUAUAGGAAAAGAUAGAGGAUAGAAGUAAUGGAAAUGUUGCAGUUGAUUCGUAUCGUCGCCACAAGGUAUAUGUAUUGCCGAUUCAAAGUUUUUGUUUCUUUUGAUAUAAUUUAUCAACUCUCAUCACUAAUAAAAAAUAAUGCUGAAAGGUUAUUAGAUAUAUUUGCG
rnacentral:sRNA from 1 species